AACGACCGUCGCCUCCAAAUAAAUUCAACAACUACGUAUUCCUCAGACAAAUUUAUAGGAAUAACAAAAAAAAAUUAUUAAAAGAAAUUUAGACCUACGACGGUUCUAAAACGGCCGUCCCCCAAAUUCUUUAAGAAUCCGCGUGGACCAAAAGUUAAAUAGACGAAAGGAAAAGUUCUUUUAAGAACAACAUCUUUUCAGCUUCUUCUUUUCAUCACUGGAAAGCUUGAAACAACCACCACCACACACCACUGCAGAAACCCUAACGCCACCUUCCCUUGUAUUUCCAUCUUAUAAAUAAUGAGUAAUUCAAUUCUGUACUUUACCCAACCCUAAUUUUUGUUUUGAUUUUAGUUUCCAUUUGAUUUUCUGCUCACUAUAUUUCUAGGUUUUAAUUUUGAUUUUGGUUUCAAUUUGGUGCUCACUAUAUUUCCAAGUUUCAAUAUCAGUUUCAAUAUUGAUUUCGAUUUCCAUUUUUUUCACUACAUCUUCAGAUUCUGUUUUCAAUUUCCAGGUUUCGACUUCAAUUUCAGUUUCCAAGUUUCGAUUUCAAUAUGGGCUGAAGUGCACUUAAUUAUUUUGUUGAUUUAUGGUGUUCUUCUGACUUAAUUUGGCAGUUGAAUUAUUCUCUAUUGGAGUGAGAAUAUAGAAUCUUAAAAAGUUCCCAUAGGAGCCAUGAGGUUCAGGAACUUUUGAAGAUGAAAGUAAGGAAACAUCUGCAUUUCUUGGUUGUACUAAUGAGUGGACCAAACACAAUUGUCCUCAACAUACACGAUACUGUUACAAGUCACCGGAUAAAUGUGACCGGAAGUUAUACACUUCAGUUGUUUCAAGUUACUAAAGUUUUGCAAGAAGAUUCUAACAUGAACUUUAUGCUGCCCUAGAUUUACUGCAAUGUUUCAAGUUACUCAAGUUUUGCAAUAUGAUCCCGACAUGAGCCAUAUUAAGUUCUAUCAUGUUUCUAUAUUUCCUUUCCUUUUUGUGUCCAUGAUGUAACUUCAGUACUUUAAUAUCAUAUAAACUAGUUUCAUUCUACAUGUGUAGGGCAUCCCCAAUGGGGAUUGGUUUUAACCAACAUGAUGUUGCGGGAUUUGCGGCGAAAACAAAAUUUAAGAGACAGAGGACGGACAAUUGCUCACUUGCAUUCAGUGUGAACAUAAAUAGUGGAAAAAACAAUCAACUUUUCUUGUCUGAACGAGAUAGUUGAUCUUCAUUUAUUCAUAUAAGAUAUGAUAAUUCAUUCUCAAAGCUGAAUGAAUCCCAAGAUGACACUAAUUCAAGCUGUGUUAGUAUGAUGGAUUGCAAUCAUGCUGAUAUCAAACUUAUUUGGGGACCUUCAGGACAGGGAAAACAGAGACAAUUGCAUGCUUAUUAUUUUCACUACUCAAGUUAAAAACAAGAACAUUGGUAUGUGCUCCAACUAAUACUGCAAUUUUGGAAGUAGCAAUUUUGGAAGACAAUUGCUGUUAUUUUUGAGAUAAUUCAAAACCUUUAUAAAGGUCAAUUUUUAUUUUCUUUUAAACUAUUAUGUAGUAUGUAAACCCUCCUCCGGGCACUGUUAUUUCUUUUCUUUUAAAGUUUUCAUGUUAUAUCAAGAUUUUGAUUUUCUUUGUAUUCGUUGAAGCUGUCUUUGAUUUCUAUCAGAAAAUUUUAUAGUGUAUCGGUUAUGGCAAUAGCAAUAAGGAAUACUUUAUAAUAUUUAUAGAUUUGAAAUAGAGUUAGAAUUUAGUUUUUUUUUUA